UAGGGAAUAUUGGGCAAUGGAUGCAAGUCUGACCCAGCCAUGCCGCGUGCAGGAAGAAGGUCCUCUGGAUUGUAAACUGCUUUUGUCGGGGAAGAAUAGGCAUCUUGCGAGGUGUUGUGACGGUACCCGAUGAAUAAGCCACGGCUAACUACGUGCCAGCAGCCGCGGUAAUACGUAGGUGGCAAGCGUUGUCCGGAUUUAUUGGGUUUAAAGGGUGCGUAGGUGGUUUGCUAAGUCAGUGGUGAAAGCUGGUUGCUCAACAAUCAAGUUGCCAUUGAUACUGUCAGACUUGAGAGAAGUGGAGGCUCAUGGAAUGGAUGGUGUAGCGGUGAAAUGCAUAGAUAUCAUCCAGAACGUCGAUUGCGAAGGCAGUGGGCUGUACUUUUUCUGACACUGAGGCACGAAAGCGUGGGGAUCAAACA
rnacentral:rRNA from 1 species